AGACAAGACUGCCAAAACCGAGGCCAAAACAGUUUGCUCAAAUUCAUCAAUUUCAGGGAUCAACCUACUUCGUCAAAGUAUACAUCGCGCGUGCUGUGUUCCUGAUCAGGACAUCAUGCAGAACGAUGUUUUCAGCAAAAGCACGAUCAUCUGCAUAAGGCGAAUCGGUACUCACAGAAGCUCUCCAACUCGCAAAAUGAAAGCGACUUCCUUUCCUAUACGUCGUGAAUCCGGUUAUCAAAACAAGCACUGCAUCCACCUAAUUAUACCUUUUCGAAAGUGCAGCUGUUAUGAAUACCCAAGUUUGUCCACACGAUCGAAGUCUCAAGACGACCAAGCCAAGAAUAUUCUGUGAAAUCAUAUGCCUCGGUAACAAACAGUUGAAGAAGCGUGUCGUAGUUUACUUUGUUGACGGGCACCCCUGGCGCAGUUCUCGCUUGAUUACCAAGGAACUCCUUUUUACGGUAUUGAGUUUCAUGGAGCUGCUGACGGUAAAAACGGGAAAGUAAUUUUCAUCAGGUUUUCGAGAAUACUGUUGAAGCAGACCAAACAAAAUUUAAACUGAUGAUUGGACACAGCAAAAGCAGACAGGAAAAAGAUAAUAUCGGGGGAAAAAUUAUGUCUGUAACGGCCUGCAAUUAUCAUUUGACACAGCGGAAGCAGACAAACUCAAGCACAACACUUGUACUCGAUACAUCGGAUCACGACAAUAGCAACGAAACUUCGUCAAGUUACAAGGAGAAUCAAAAGCUGCUCCACCUGACGCAGAUCGACACGGAACUGCGAAUGUCGCCUGGAAGGUGGUAACGUUAAUUAGCCAUUGCUAACUAGUUCCUUGGUAACCAAGCGAGAACAGCGCCAGGGGUUCCCGUCAACAAAGUAAACUACGAUUCAGCUGGCGUUGCUGGUGAGUGCCGAAAAGGGAUAUCUAUUUGUGUAACUAUAUAGCGGUUGAGCAACGAGCGAAAUGAGCGCUACAGUGACCGGCAGACACGCAUAACAUCGCUCUGCAUGAGAAGCAGUUGCUCCAGAUUGUUCAGCACCUGAUGACUUGACUUCGGAGGAUUGAUCAUUCAUAUAUAGUCAUAGCCGGAAAGUGGUAUAUUGAGAAGGAUUCAUCACGCCAGCUCGUCGCUCAUCGUGCCGGAAAAAGAAUUUGUUCUCGAUUUCAGAAGAGCUCUUGAUAAUUGCGAAAAAUUCUUUGAUAAUUGUUGAUGUUGUUUUGAAUGUCCUACCGUAUGAGAUAAAACUAUUUAUUCAAUUCAAUUUCAAUAGGUGGUUCACUUUUACAUGAUUUCAAUCUCGAAGGUCAUCAUGAAAGUAUUUAUUAACGCAUUUGCCCAAAAGUACACGCGGCGGUCCCCACAGGAAACGACGCACCGCGCUUUUUGCUGCCCGUAUACUCGAUUCUUAUGGGGAGAUAACAUUGCGGCGUUUCUUAAGGUGCGGUUGUUCCUUUUGAAUCUGAAACGCCGCGUGGAAUCUUGUGCAAAUGCGCUUUUGGAAACAUCACAACAGCCGCGCGGUGUAUCGUAUUGACAGCACCCUACAAUACCUGUAUGAGAAUUUGUUGACAUUAGUUCUUUUGGGCACAAGCAUGAUGCAACAAUACGUCGAAUAAUCUGUCAGUGAAAAGAAUAUACAACAUCUAAUUAUCUAUACUGUAUUAAUUUAAAUAUCCUGCCUACAUAUUUCAACAAAACAUGCAUGAAACCGGUGACUCCAAGCAACGAGGAAAAACCUAAUCUUCCAUUAGCACAACACCCAAAACUCCCACAUCCAUCCGCAGUCUUUUAUGCCAUAACAAAAUUAACUUCGAAUUAUGGCGAGCAUCAGGAAAACAACCAGCUUCGAAGAUUCCAGUAAGUCGGAAACCUUGGACAUGAAUGGCUCCAUUGAUUUGAGUGCUUCGUACAUAUUUUCACCCACUACGACAAGCAAAAUGGCCAAGAUUUAAAAGAGAUCAAUGUAUCACAAAUGGGAAUCAAUAAUAGAUGACGAUUCGAACGAAGUAAAGAAGGACCGAAAGAUGACUGGGACAGCCAAGGGAGUCAAGAAUCUCCGUAUUACCGUCGUUAACGUCGUCACAGCUCACGUGAUAAUCAUCCACGGAUUAAACAGGGAUAAGAUGAUCGAGGUAGAGCAGGAUUGCAAAUUCGUGUACGGAAACAAAAGCUUGAAGAUUACAAAUGCAGGAAUCGAUUGAAAAUUAAAUGCCCGGAAGAAAACGCUGUCUUCAAGGAAGUAGUUUCUCCGAUAAGGAAAAUAUACUCCUGCAUGAGAUUGAACGGGAAAAUAGCGAUAGAGAACGCAACGAAUUGAGAACUAUUCGAGGUAUAAAUUAAGAAGCUUUCAGAAUCGGAUCAUUCGCUGCCAGAUGACGAACCCUGUGUCAGUAUUAUGACUUCUAUCGAAGAAGUACAAUUUGUACGGUUCGUGGUCAUUUGGCCGAACGCCGUUUGCCGAAUAGUUGAAAUUCGUUUCCUUUUUAAGUGUUUGAAGCAAUGCGAAGCCAGAUCAUCUCUG